GUUUUUAUUUUUAUAUUUUUAUUUUUAUUUAAUAUUAAUUUUUUAUUAAUAUUUAUUUUUUAUGUAA
rnacentral:ribozyme from 1 species